AACGAACGCUGGCGGCAUGCCUAACACAUGCAAGUCGAACGAGAUCUUCGGGUCUAGUGGCGCACGGGUGCGUAACGCGUGGGAAUCUGCCCUUUGGUUCGGAAUAACAGUUGGAAACGACUGCUAAUACCGGAUGAUGACGAAAGUCCAAAGAUUUAUCGUUAGAGGAUGAGCCCCCGUAGGAUCAGCUAGUUGGUGUGGUAAAGGCGCACCAAGGCGACGAUCCUUAGCUGGUCUGAGAGGAUGAUCAGCCACACUGGGACUGAGACACGGCCCAGACUCCUACGGGAGGCAGCAGUGGGGAAUAUUAGACAAUGGGCGAAAGCCUGAUCCAGCAAUGCCGCGUGAGUGAUGAAGGCCUUAUGGUUGUAAAGCUCUUUUACCCGGGAUGAUAAUGACAGUACCGGGAGAAUAAGCUCCGGCUAACUCCGUGCCAGCCGCCGCCGUAA
rnacentral:rRNA from 1 species